rnacentral:rRNA from 1 species
UGGGGAAUAUUGCACAAUGGGCGCAAGCCUGAUGCAGCCAUGCCGCGUGUAUGAAGAAGGCCUUCGGGUUGUAAAGUACUUUCAGUCGGGAGGAAGGUGGUAAGGUUAAUAACCUUAUCAAUUGUCGUUACCGACAGAACAAGCACCGACUAACUCCGUGCCAGCAGCCGCGGUAAUACGGAGGGUGCAAGCGUUAGUCGGAAUUACUGGGCGUAAAGCGCACGCAGGCGGUUGAUUGAGUCAGAUGUGAAAUCCCCGGGCUUAACCCGGGAAUUGCAUCUGAUACUGGUCAGCUAGAGUCUUGUAGAGGGGGGUAGAAUUCCAUGUGUAGCGGUGAAAUGCGUAGAGAUGUGGAGGAAUACCGGUGGCGAAGGCGGCCCCCUGGACAAAGACUGACGCUCAGGUGCGAAAGCGUGGGGAGCAAACAGG